rnacentral:rRNA from 1 species
AAGCCAGACUCCUACGGGAGGCAGCAGUGAGGAAUAUUGGUCAAUGGCCGAGAGGCUGAACCAGCCAAGUCGCGUGAGGGAUGACGGCCCUACGGGUUGUAAACCUCUUUUGCCGGGGAGCAAAGAGCGGGACGCGUCCCGCCUCGAGAGUACCCGGAGAAAAAGCAUCGGCUAACUACGUGCCAGCAGCCGCGGUAAUACGUAGGGGGCAAGCGUUAUCCGGAUUUACUGGGUGUAAAGGGAGCGUAGAUGGCGUGCCAAGUCUGAUGUGAAAGGCCGGGGCUCAACCCCGGGACUGCAUUGGAAACUGGCAUGCUGGAGUGCCGGGGGGGCAAGCGGAAUUCCUAGUGUAGCGGUGAAAUGCGUAGAUAUUAGGAGGAACACCGGUGGCGAAGGCGGCUCGCUGGACGGUAACUGACGUUGAGGCUCGAAAGCGUGGGGAGCAAACAGGAUUAGAUACCCUUGUACG